CAGCCGCCGCGGUAAUACGAAGGGUGCAAGCGUUACUCGGAAUUACUGGGCGUAAAGCGUGCGUAGGUGGUGGUUUAAGUCCGUUGUGAAAGCCCUGGGCUCAACCUGGGAAUUGCAGUGGAUACUGGGUCACUAGAGUGUGGUAGAGGAUAGUGGAAUUUCCGGUGUAGCAGUGAAAUGCGUAGAGAUCGGAAGGAACAUCUGUGGCGAAGGCGACUAUCUGGGCCAACACUGACACUGAGGCACGAAAGCGUGGGGAGCAAACAGGAUUAGAUACCCGAGUAGUCCCUGUCUCUUAUAC
rnacentral:rRNA from 1 species